GACGAACCGUGCGAACGUUAUUCGGAAUCACUGGGCUUAAAGCGCGUGUAGGCGGGACGGCACGUCGGUCGUUGAAAUCCCCCGGCUUAACCGGGGAACGGGCGUCGAUACGACCGUCCUGGAGGGGCGUAGGGGGACCUGGAACUUCCGGUGGAGCGGUGAAAUGCGUUGAGAUCGGAAGGAACGCCCGUGGCGAAAGCGAGGUCCUGGACGCCUACUGACGCUGAGACGCGAAAGCCAGGGGAGCGAACGGG
rnacentral:rRNA from 1 species